GGUAUUCCUGGUUUGGAAAGUAUAAAUCCCACGGGAAGUCAACUGAAGAACAUUUUUACACACUACUCAUUCCAUUAUGAGCCUGCUGCUCUUCCAUCUCUCGACAAGG
ensembl:misc_RNA predicted gene, 27366